GUGCUUGGCUAGGGACACGGAUCCCGUUUCAGCGCCCAUAGCAGCAAUUCUUCAAUUCCUCACAUCUCUGUUUGAAACUGGCCGGGCCUACCGAACAAUAAAUGUAUACAGGUCAGCCAUUUCUUCGGCCCAUCAGGGUUUCGAGGGUUGUCUGGUAAGACAACUUCAUCUAGUUCCCGCUUAUCUUGCCCACCUAGACCACGAUACUCCUCUACAUGGGAUGUCUCCUUGGUGCUAUCACUGUUUGCCUCGUGGCCAUCUAAUGCAGACCUUUCCUUGCGCCAAUUAUCGGCAAAAUUGGUCACACUGCUUUGCCUGGAAUCCUGUAAGAGGGUUUCGGAUGUUCGUGCCUUCGAUUUCGACGCUCGCUCCUUCACUCCCGACGGGUUGACUUAUAAUAUAUCCAGCCACACGAAGACUUCAAUUCGAUUGGUUUCUAAUCCGGCCUUCCCUUCGGCUCCAGCAUUGUGCCCGGUAGCUUGUUUACGGGCGGGAAUAUGAGAUUCGCACUGAGCCGCAUCGUUAGCCAUCUAGGCCUCAUAUUUUUCUAUCCCCGGUGACGAAUACUACCAUGGCUCGUUGGUUGAAAUAGGUGUUGCAACAGGCGGGUGUUUGGAGCCCUUUCUGUGCGGGUGCUUCAGCCUCGUCGAUGAUGACCUUGGGAACGCGGUUGGAUGACAUGAUGA